UUGGAUAUCUUGAUGUAACGUGUCUGGGUUUUCAUUUAGCUCCAAGCGGGAUUUCUCUAUUGUCUCUGGACUAAGUCCAGCAUGCAGGCCACAGAGUCUACCAGAAGCACAAGCAGGAAGAAUAUCUCACUCCGUGAACUUUAUCUCGAUUUGAAAAAUUCACAUGUAUUGGACAAGUGCAUCCUUGUUAAAAGGGUUUCUGCAGGAUCUACAACUGAAACCUAGAGGGGAACUUUACAGACUGAUUCAUGUUUUAUUUAUUGAAAACAUCAGAGGCGUUCACACUAAUAAACAGAGUUGGUAGAAA